AACUCUUCAGCUCUGUAUAAGAACCUUGAGAAUGAAGUACGUCUAAUCUUCAGAAAUCAACCCGAGUCAAUGGGUUUUACUUCUUGUCCAAUAAAAAUAUGGUAGAAUUGGGCAUUGUUUACCAAGACAUGGCAGAAAUUUGGUACUUGACGAUAAUUUUUAUGUAUUCUGCAGAAAUUUGGUAGUGAUCACCUGCCCUUGGUUUCUGAAUUCGCUUUCAUUCAAGGUUCGAAAGAUGAAAAUGAGACCAGCAAUUUUCUGAUAUCAUAAGUUGUCCAGCCACAGCCAGCCAACGUAUCAUUUGCAGCCAGCUGCUACAUCCUCAGUUCAGGAAUUUUCAUCUUUGAGUGUAUCAAUUUUAGUUUGCAGCCAGCUGCUACAUCCUCAGUUCCGGAAUUUUCAUCUUUGAGUGUAUCAAUUUUAGUUUGCAGCCAGCUGCUACAUCCUGUUUACCAAGACAUGGCAGAAAUUUGGUACUUGACGAUAAUUUUUAUGUAUUCUGCAGAAAUUUGGUAGUGAUCACCUGCCCUUGGUUUCUGAAUUCGCUUUCAUUCAAGGUUCGAAAGAUGAAAAUGAGACCAGCAAUUUUCUGAUAUCAUAAGUUGUCCAGCCACAGCCAGCCAACGUAUCAUUUGCAGCCAGCUGCU
rnacentral:lncRNA from 1 species